CCCCGGCCGGGCCGCGGGUGGCUGGCGGGGCGAGAGGGACAGCCCUACGGCUUCACUCCUAGGAGCGGCUGCCGUGAAUGGUAAUUGGAUCCUACAGUUAGGAGGACUCUAAGCUGUGAAUUUUAAGCAUGCUGUGUUAUCUGUGUUUUGGCCUGACUUAAGUUUCUAAGGAAUUGCAAUAAUGCUGCUGCAUUUCUGGGGUUUGGUGCUACAGGAAAUGUACACCUUUAUUUUACUCCUGCCAGAGACACCAGAUAAGAGGGUUCCAUUGGGAUACCAUUACUCUCCAUUAGACCAAUGUUUUUCAAUGGAGCACAGGAUCAUACAGGAGAGAAGUGAGCACUCAGAUUCUU